CAAUCAUAAUCAAAUCAUAGAUUUUCUAGGUAAGCUAGAAUUGAUUUUAGUUUGGGUUAGUAUUUACUUCUCAGCCGCCAUGAAUUGGCUGGUUAUGUUAGUACAAACAAAUUUUUGGUCAAUUCGACUAUAGUUCUUGAUGAUAUGAUUAUGUAUACAAAAAAAAAAAAAAAUAGAAUCCAAUUGGUGGCCAGCUAAGGAUUGGAUGAGAUGAAGAGGUCGCUUACAUGAAUUUGUCGAUUGCUUAUGCCAAUUUUUGUAGCGCCGAUUUUGUGGUCAUAACAACAUCGAUUUGAUGGCAUCAUUGAUAGAAACGAUCCGAAGACAAUAACAAGAGUGCGCUGCAUGAGUUUCAUAAUGCUCAACUCACGAAAUGCUAUAUAGCAUUCUGCAUCUAUGUAUUUCCGUGGUGGUGUCACGUAAACUUGUGACUUAGAUUAUAAAA